rnacentral:rRNA from 1 species
UACGUAGGGUGCGAGCGUUGUCCGGAAUUACUGGGCGUAAAGAGCUCGUAGGUGGUUUGUCACGUCGUCUGUGAAAUUCCGGGGCUUAACCUCGGGCGUGCAGGCGAUACGGGCAAUACUUGAGUACUGUAGGGGAGACUGGAAUUCCUGGUGUAGCGGUGAAAUGCGCAGAUAUCAGGAGGAACACCAAUGGCGAAGGCAGGUCUCUGGGCAGUUACUGACGCUGAGGAGCGAAAGCAUGGGUAGCGAACAGGAUUAGAUACCCCCGUA